rnacentral:rRNA from 1 species
AUUGAACGCUGGCGGAAUGCUUUACACAUGCAAGUCGAACGGUAGAGGGGGCAACCCCUUGAGAGUGGCGAACGGGUGAGUAAUAUAUCGGAACGUGCCCAGUCGUGGGGAUAACGUAGCGAAAGUUACGCUAAUACCGCAUACGAUCUAAGGAUGAAAGCGGGGGAUCGCAAGACCUCGCGCGAUUGGAGCGGCCGAUAUCAGAUUAGGUAGUUGGUGAGGUAAAGGCUCACCAAGCCAACGAUCUGUAGCUGGUCUGAGAGGACGACCAGCCACACUGGAACUGAGACACGGUCCAGACUCCUACGGGAGGCAGCAGUGGGGAAUUUUGGACAAUGGACGCAAGUCUGAUCCAGCCAUUCCGCGUGCAGGAUGAAGGCCCUCGGGUUGUAAACUGCUUUUGUACGGAACGAAAAGGUUUCUCUUAAUACGAGGAGCUCAUGACGGUACCGUAAGAAUAAGCACCGGCUAACUACGUG